AAGUUCUCAGCUUGACUCUGCUUUCAUUUUUCAUUUCUCAGCCCCUUGAGUUCAAAGGGAGCUCCAGCAUCUCUACAUAUCCCAUGCCAUCCAUGGGCCAGCAGCCUCUUCUCCAGCACCUUGAGCAAAAGUUGGGGCGAUGAUCACUGGGGAAAAGACAUGGACUUGGAUUCUUUGAACUUGCGUGCAGUGAUGGAAUGCUGAUGAGGAGCAGUUGGCCCUGUGACUUCUGAUCUGCAAAACAACAUUAGGAAACUCUUAGUAUCACCAUUAUUGGUGCCAGGCAGCUGUCAGCUGUUCUGCUGUUGACCGGAUUUCAUCUUGUGUUCACCAGUCAACAUCAGCUCUGCCAAUCUCAGGAAACCAACUCCAGACCACUCUAUUGUUCUGUAUGUCCAAAACUAUACACUCCAGGGAAUUACAUCGGGGAUUUUAAUUAAGUUACCUCCAACAGAAGAAAGAAAUUCCUUAAUAAUGCCAUUCAUCAUGCUUGAGAUUGCUUCCUUGCAUCUGACCUACAAGUUUCCUGACGCAAGUGAGGCUGUCCUUCAGCUGACACACCUGACAGGAAGUCCAGUUUCAG
rnacentral:lncRNA from 1 species